GUAUAGUAUAUGAUUAGUGAUUGAUGCUCCUUCCCUCAUUUGAGUGUUGAAGAUAGCACAACUUAUCCGGUACCUUUCAACGUCAUUGGGUGUGCCAAAAGAUUUGUUCAACAUUUGCAAUAUAUCCUGUUGCUGAGCAUUCUUGAAUCUAUGGCUAAACUCAUCAUUCAUUGGCAUCAGUAUAAUGCAACGAACCAUAGUUCGAUCAUUGAGCUACUUCUGAUAAGUAUCUCGGACCAUAUUACGAGCGUUCGAAGCUGGCUCCUCAGAUGUCGGAUCUAUCAGCACGUACAAGAUCC
rnacentral:lncRNA from 1 species